AACACUGUUAACCUGCGGUACCUGCGGAAGGAUCAUUACCGAGUUUACAAACUCCCAACCCUAUGUGAACCUUACCAAUCGUUGCUUCGGCGGGCUUAGCCCCCGCGCCCUCGCCGGCGCCGGGAGAAAGGCGCCCGCCGGGGACCCCAAACCCAAUGUUUUUCAUGCAGUAUUUCUGAGUGGCAAACGCAAAAAUAAAUCAAAACUUUUAACAACGGAUCUCAGAUCGGAAGAGCACAC
rnacentral:misc_RNA from 1 species